CCUACGGGGGGCUGCAGCUAAGAAUCUUCCGCAAUGGGCGAAAGCCUGACGGAGCGACGCCGCGUGAACGAAGAAGGCCGUGAGGUUGUAAAGUUCUUUUCGGGAGGGGGAACGAGGCUGCCAGGCAAUGGGCGGCCGAUGACGUGAAUCCCGGAAUAAGCCCCGGCUAACUACGUGCCAGCAGCCGCGGUAACACGUAGGGGGCGAGCGUUGUUCGGAAUCAUUGGGCGUAAAGGGCGUGCAGGCGGCCGCCAAAGUCCGGCGUGAAAGACCCAGGCUCAACCUGGGGGGUGCGCCGGAUACUGGGCGGCUUGAGUACAGGAGGGGACGGCGGAAUUCCAGGUGUAGGGGUGAAAUCUGUAGAUAUCUGGAGGAACACCGAUGGCGAAGGCAGCCGUCUGGCCAUGUACUGACGCUGAGGCGCGAAGGUGCGGGGAGCAAACAGGCUUAGAUACCCUGGUAGUC
rnacentral:rRNA from 1 species